CGGUACUCAGUUCGGAUUGAAGGCUGAAAUUCGCCUUCAUGAAGCUGGAAUUGCUAGUAAUGGCAGGUCAGCAUACUGCCGUGAAUACGUUCCCGGGCCUUGUACACACCGCCCGUCACACCAUGAGAGUUGGAAAUACCCGAAGCCUGUGAGCUAACUUUUAGAGGCAGCAGUCGAAGGUAGAGCCAAUGAUUGGGGUGAAGUCGUAACAAGGUAAC
rnacentral:rRNA from 1 species